GGCGGGCGCGCGGAAGGGCUGCGGGGGGGGUCGGGUGGGGGUUGUGCUGCGCUAGUGCUUCGUUGCUUUCGGAUAAGAUUAGCUGAGCUGUUCUCUGUUCACCUCCCCCGCCACGGCCUACUCUAUGCCCCCACACCCUCUCUACCCAUCCAUCCAUUUAUUCAUACAUCCACCUUCCCUCCAAUAUUCAUCCAUUCCACCACCACCACUUCAGUUGCCUUCUUCGUCCCUAUCUUUCGUCCGUUUGCAAGUAGUCGUCAAUGGUGGUGGGUCCCACCCUUCCUUCCUCACCACCGUUGUUCAUGAUUACUCCUCCUCAAGUCCCUCUUCCCCUUUCCUUGCAGUCUUCCUUCCAUUCUCCUCCUGGCUUAUCAUUACUCAUUUUGUCUGCUCUCAUGUAUGUAUAUAUACACAUGUAUGUAGUAUUUCACGUACAAUGGCGCGUACGAGUCCCAAGUGUACGUCUCAUUAGGGCUCCCAUUCCUAAAUCAGGAAAAGCACGACGAGCAUGUUGUGAGACGAUACAAAUAUGGACUUGCAACCGAAAGGCAAGUUGGCCCUAGCCGUUGUUGUUGUUGCUGCUGCUGUUGAUGUUGUUGUUGUUGUUGUUGUUUUACUUAGACGCAAAGUUUGGUGCCACGUACUGGCACAUGAAUGAAUAGAAACGAGUAGGGAGGGAGCUAGGGUAGAGUAGGAGUAGUAGGCUCAUCGGAACCGCCAUCGGAACGACGGAUGAGGUCCCACUUGUGACUUCCACAUGCCAUUCCGCUGGCAUUCGCGCACAAGCCUGUUGCGCUCCGUCGUCAACUAACGCCAUAGCUAUUCCCGUCGUGUCCCCCAGGAGAACCAGCGCAGUUCAGCAUUAUUCGUAUUCCUGUCUCGGAGAGGCCUUUUCUCUGACCACUGCGUCCGCAUUUCUUUAAGCCUCUCUGGAGUCGCACAUUCCUGCAUCUGGCACGGGGACUAGCACUUCCAAAGGAAAUUUCAAGUCAAACAUACAAUUAUUUUCACGAAAUGCGAUUUCUCAAUUUUUUGUUAACUUGAUAGUCCUAAGUCAAAUGCUCCUAAGUGGAAUCAUUGUAAGAGUGUCACCCAGAGAUGUUGGAAUAUCUAGUAUGCAAUGGAUUUAUUCUUAAAUAUUGAAUAUUAUUAUUUUAAGCUUAUUUAACCCUCGCCUGUUCUACACUCGUUCUGUGUAAUUUUAUUCAGUAAUUUGCAUGUUUAUCUCGAAUUGGGGUGUUGAUGAUCAGCACAGAAGAUUCUAAUGCUCUCCUUUGCAUAAUAGACUAACCUGAUGGUGUUCAUUGGAAAUAUGACGACUUUUGGGGGUUGUUGGAUAAGUUUGAGAAUUUAAAAAUCCAGAGUUAUUGUUCAUACGCAACAAACCAGCCUCGUGAGGUGUGGAGGUGGAGAAUGGAGUGAAGAUAGAUCUCCCAGGUUCGUACAGAGAAGACAUGUCAGGUGGUUUCGUUGGUCUGGUGUUGUCAUAGAAGCAUUCCACUCGUUGUUUGUCACCUCCUUGUUGAUUUUGCAUUGUAUUGCCCUAGUCCAGCAUUUAAUUCGAUGAAACGAUACACGACUAGUUGCUCAUAGUAGACACCUAUUUGUCCCAGCCCUGCCUGCUUUCCAUUGCCAUUGAUAUCAAUUGGAAAAUUGGACUUGCUUGUAUGUUUGAUUCAGCAUAGAAUAGCCAGAGGUCUGUUCCUACAUGCCAGUCCCUAAACCUGGUCUUUAAAUCUGAUUUGGAAUGCGAGCUUAACGUCAUUGCAUUGUGACAGUUUACACUGUCAAUAUAUGUAAACCACCGUUUUUUUUUUAUUGGAAAUUGGCACUUCUACCUUCUUCUUUUUUCAA